rnacentral:SRP_RNA from 1 species
GCCGGGCAUGGUGGCGUGUGCCUGUAGUCCCAGAUACUCGGGAGGCUGAGGCAGGAGAAUCGCUUGAACCCAGGAGAUGGAGGUUGCAGUGAACUGAAAUUGUACCACUGCACUUCAGCCUGGGCAACAGAGUGAGACUCUGUCUCCA